rnacentral:rRNA from 1 species
GACGGAGGGUGCAAGCGUUGCUCGGAAUCACUGGGCGUAAAGGGUGCGUAGGCGGCCACGCAAGUCUGACGUGAAAGCCCCGGGCUCAGCCCGGGAAGGGCGCCAGAGACUGCGGGGCUGGAGUGCCGGAGGGGAGAGUGGAAUUCCCGGUGUAGCGGUGAAAUGCGUAGAGAUCGGGAGGAAUACCGGUGGCGAAAGCGACUCUCUGGACGGCAACUGACGCUGAGGCACGAAAGCGUGGGGAGCAAACAGGA